rnacentral:pre_miRNA from 1 species
ACCACAUGGGGACCUUGUUAAAAUGCCUAAUAUGAUUAAGUAGGUCUGGGAUGGGGCCCGAGAUUCUGCAUUUCUAACGAGUUCCCAAGUGAUGCUAA